AUCCAGAUAACAUGUCCAAAAUAGGACGAAAUGCGCAUCCUGAAU
rnacentral:hammerhead_ribozyme from 1 species